rnacentral:lncRNA from 1 species
AUCAUUUAUAGCUUAAUUGAUUUUACACAUUUAUUAAAGAUGUGAGCCACAUCUGUGACCUAUACCACAGCUCAUGGCAACGCUGCAUCCUUAACCCACUGAGCUAGGCCAGGGAUGGAACCCACAACCUCGUGGUUCAUAGUCAGAUUCCUUUCCACUGUGCCACUAUGGGAACUCUGAAUUUAGCUUUUUAAUAGGUUGUAUAUAUAGUCACCAUAAACAGUGUACAUUCUCAAGGGUACUGUAUUAUUUUUAAUGCUUGGUUCCAUGACUGAUAAUUUGCAUAGACCUUUUCCCAAUCACAAUUCUUCAUGGAAACUGAAGAACUCAGAAAAUGAUUUGGAUGACUUUGUCAUUUCUCCCAAGAAUGAUGCAUAGCUAGUAUCAUUUUUAAUGCCUAGGAGACAAGUAAAUUCAAUACAUUCAAAGAAUGACUUGGGAUACCAGGGCUUAAUUCUUAUGUGGAACCGUAGGAGAGAAUGGGACAUAUAUGUCAUUUCUAUAUUGCAGUCAUUUUCUUCAUGUAUGAAUGACUAGCUUGAAUCUUUCCAUGUGUUGAUUUCGUUGUUCUAUUUCUUUUUCUGAGAAAUAAAUGCUGGUGAAACUUUUUAAGGAAGGUUAUUCCAGGGAUCACAUGGAAGUUUUCCUAUUUUGUUUGUUUGUUUUUUUUUUUUGGGUCUUUUUCUAGGUCUGCAUCCGCGGCAUAUGGAGGUUCUCAGGCUAGGGCUCUAAUCAGAGCUGAAGCCGCCAGCCUACGCCAGAGCCAGUGCAAUCUACACCACAGAACAUCUGCAGCCUACACCACAGCCCAUGGCAACGCCAGAUCCUCGACCCACUGAGAGAGGCAAGGGAUGGAAACCUAAACCUCAUGGUUCCCAGUAGGAUUUGUUAACCACUGAGCCAUGACGGGAACUCCCUGAUAGCCCAGUUUUAAGCUGCACUGUUAUCCGCAGGUGUAAAAUACAGUUCCCACUUUUUAGGCUAGAUCAAUGUAAAAUAGGGAGAUUGUUGAUAUUAUAAAAACUUUUAAAAGAUUUUCUCCCUUUAAUCUGUGAAUGUAGAGGAAGUUAAAAAUUAAAUUAGCCAUCAAAUCAGGUAUUUUAGGAUUUAUUAGGAUUUAUCCUGUCUGAAAAGAGUCCAUUAGUUAUUUGUAUGUAUUUUAUACCUAGAAAUGUUAAACUUCAUCCUUUGUUUUGGAAAGUAUUCAUUGAAAAAAUAUCUAAAUACAUAAUUAAGUUCAAAAUUCAUAUUUAGCUGUUUGUUUUUGUUUACUGAGCAGGUCUAACGGAAAUAGCUAGGGCCUUAGAAGAGAGCCAGGAUCCUUUGGGUCUGAUAAAACUUGAGAGAUAGUAACCAUUCAUAGGAUAGUUAUUGGUCCCUGAAUGCAAGUGAAGAAGCUCUUGUAGUUAAUCAUUAUGGAAAAUGAUUUGAUGGUUAAUAAUUUACUUAUAGUUUUUCACUGUUUCCGAUAGUUACACUUAGAUGAAUUUUCUUGAAGAAGUAAUACCUUAUUUAACUAUUUUUGAUUAAAAUCUUUAUAAAAUAUAUUAAAAUUUUAUUGUUUUAAAUCUUAAAAAUAUCUAGCUUUAUCAAGGUUAUAGUCAUGAAUACUUGUACUUUGGUCUAAUACAGUGAUAGUGCAUUGUAUUAUGAUGAAGGUUGAUAGGGUUGUUUGGUUCUAUGUAAAUCUUCUGCUUACUAUGCAUUUAUAUGUAGCAUUUAAAUUAAAAAAUUUUUUAAAAUUAUAGUUGAUUUACGUUGUUCUGUCACUUUUUGCUGUAUAGCAGAGUGACCCAGUCAUACAUCUGUAUAUACUCUCUUUCUCAUAUUAUCUUUCAUCAAGUUUAUCGCAAGUAUUGGACAUAGUUCCCUGUGCUGUAAGGCAGGGCCUCAUUGCCUAUCCAUUAUCAAUGUGAAGUUUCAUCUGUUAACCCCAAACUCCUGGUCCAUCCCGCUCCCUCCUCCUUGGCAACCACAAGUCUGCUGUCCAUGUCUGUGAAUCUGUUUCUGUUCAGUAGAUAGGUUUAUUUGUGUCAUAUUUUAGGUUCCUGUAUGUGGCAUUUAAAUUUUUUAUUUCCUUGUUACAUGUAGUAGUUUCUUAGUUUGUUAGUUUUUAAUAGGACUGACCAAUUUUUGGCUUAUGCUGUAAAGUCUUUAUUCUGCUCUAAAACCUAACCUGCUAAAAACUAAACUGUGGUUAAUGAGAUAAGUAAGUAUUGUUAAAAUCAGAGACUGUGUUGCUAUUUGAAAAUAGGUCAGGGAGUGAUUUUCACCUCUCUUGUGGAGAAGAGUACAUGGGCUUUGUUUAAGCUCCUUUUCUACUUUAUUUCUCUCUUUGUCUCUGGAUAUAGUUGAUUGUAGUCACUUAUAUGAUUACAAGAUAUAUGGACUGUUGUCAUUUCUCCCUCAGGUGACUUUGAUAUUAAAUUUUUUUAACUUUUUUUUUCAUGUAGUAGCAAAAUUUGACAAUAUUUCUAGGUAAGUGGUUUGUAUAUUUUAAAUGUGUUUGAACAUGAACUUUAAAUCAACCAGUUGUAAGCUAAAGGUAUAUCAAGUACUUUUCAAAUAAUAUAAAUGUUUUUGUCAUGAAGUGGAUUAAGUUGAUAGAAAAUUUUUUUUUUUUUUUUCUUUUUGACUGUCCUGUGGCAUACGGAGUUCCCAGGCCAGGGAUCAGGUCCAAGCUGCAGUUGUGACCUUAGCUGCAGCUGUGUAAAUGCUGGAUGCUUAACCCAUUGUGUUGGGCUGGGGAUCGAACCUGCGUCCCAGUGCUCUCAAGACACUGCUGAUCCCAUUGUGCAGCCUCAGGAACUCUUUACUUUUUACUUAUUGGUUGUGAUUGCUGCAUUAAACUCUAAUAUGCCCUUUAUAAGGAACAUUCUUUUGAAUACCUUCUAGCCUGUUCUGAUGUGAAGAAGCCUUUUCUCUAAAUGUUAAGAGAUUGAACAACAACAACAAAAAAAAACACAUUUAAAUUAUCUGUUUUGGUUAUUGAGCGUGGGGGCUGUGUUGAUCAGUUAAGAAAUACUUGUCAAGGACCGUUCUUUGGUGCUGAAUAGAAAGUAAUUAGUUUACUAAUUUGUUGAGUUCUACAUAGUUCUUGAAACUCAUGACUGUAUAGACAUUUAUGUUGUUUCCACAUUUUGCAAUUACAGAUAAUGCUGCAGUGAAUAAUCUUCUGUUCUUAUGUAUUCUUGUAUUGUUGGAGGCAUUUCUUUGAGGUAAAUUUCCAGAAGUGGAAUCACUGGGCUGAUAUGCAAAUGCAUAUGUUGUUUUGUCCCUUCCAAAAGAGUUGUGCCCAACUUGCAUUCUCACCAGUGAUGUUUAAGAAUGGAUCACGGGCAUUUUAGUGAUGGGGAAAAGACUUAUUAAUCACUACGUAUAGGUCAUUCACUUCUUUUAUAACAACUACAUUAAGAUAUAAUUUACAUACCACACAGUUAACACCUUUAAAGUGUACAGUUCAUAUAUGAAAUGUCCAAAACAAAUUUAUAAAGAUAGAAAAGAAGAUGAGGGGUUAUUUAGGCUGAGUUCUGGAGUGGUAUAUUGUGUGGAGAUGAGGAGUGACUGCUAAUGGAUAUGGAUUUCUUGGGGGUGUAGUGUGAUGAAAAUGUUCUAAAGCUGAUAGUGGUUUUAUGGCUGCAUGGCUGUGAGUAUACAAAAAACUGUUGAAUUAUACACAUCUAAAUAUAUGUGGAAUUUAAAGCCAUGGGAUCAGUGUGAAUUUAGAUGAAAAAGAGAUCAAAAGACCAUGUAUGCUUUAACAUUUAGAAGUUAGAAUGAUGAGCAAGAGGGACUUGAGAAGACAUGUCCAGAAAUACAGGAGGAAAUCAGUUAAGUAGGGAAUCAUGGAAGGCAAAUGAAAAGAGUGCUUAAGGGAAGAAGGGCUGCUAACAAUAUUAAAUGCUGCUGAUGGAAAGAAUUGACCUCUUGAGAGUUCCCGUCAUGGUGCAGUGGAAACGAAUCCAACUGGGAACCAUGAGGUGGCGGUUCGAUCCCUGGCGUCACUCAGUGGGUUAAGGAUCCAUUGUUGCCGUGAGCUAUGGUGUGGGUCACAGACACGGCUCAGAUCCUGUGUUGCUCUGGCUGUGGUGUAGGUGGGGAGCUGUAGCUCCAAUUCAACCCCUAGCCUGGGAACCCCCAUAUGCUGUGGGUGUGGCUCUUAAAAAAAAAUUGACCUCUUGACUUAACAAUUUGAAACAAAGCAGUUGUGGUAGGUAGAGUGAAGGGGACAAAAGUCUAGUGGGAGGGAGUUUGAGAGAGUGGAAGUAUAAAUUAAAGAUAACAGGUGUAGGCUUUUUACCCAAGAAUUAUGCUCUUGUGGGAAAGAUAGAAAGGUAGUAUAGCUGUGUGGUGGUGGGGCGAGGUACGUAGGUCAAGAGUAGUUUUAAAUUUUUAAUAUUUUUUAAAAUUUGGAAUUAAUAGCAUGUUGUAGGAUCAUGGAAAUCAGUCAGUAGAAAGAAAAAGAACUGAUGAUGUAAGGAGAGAGGGUAACUUGUUUGAGUAGGUGGGAGGAAGAUGGAUGAGUGUGCACAGGUAGAGGGAAUGGUCUUGGCUAAGCGAGGACAGCUCAUAGGAGCAGGAGAAAAAAUGACGUAUAUUAGGUUAAAUUAUCAGUAUGACUCAUAGUUUAGAAAUAUAGAAGUGAAAAUACUGUUACGGUCUUUAUUUUGCUUCUUUUUCUCUAUAUGACUUUUAUUAAAUGUAACAAUAAACCUGUGAAUAUCAUGGUAAAAUUGGUGUUAAAAGAUGUGAAGGAGCUAUGAAAUGUUUAUGCUUAGAGUUAAGAAAACUGUUGAAAUACAUUUAACUAAAUAAUUUAACCCUUGAAAGUAAGUCAGUAUCUGCUGAUUCUACUAACUUCAAUUGGUGGACAAAAGUUUUAAGGUAAUAUUUGUAAAUCGGCAAGUCCUAAUAAUCAUUGUCAAAUAUAUAUGAUUAGACUGAUUAAUUUUAGUAUGAUCGCAUAGUAGUGACUGAAUAUGGAGAUGGUGUAAGUUUCUUUGUAAGAGUGGGUAUAGAAUGGAAGGAAUCUUAAGCUACAUCUAGUCUAUCUAACUUUGCAGAUUAGAGUUUUGUUUAAUGUCCUGCAGACAGAAGACUGGAAUUCAAUAGGAAAAUUGAGAUACAGAUCCAUGAACAUAUGGAAAUUUAGUAUAUGAUAAACCUGGCAUCUCAGGGCUCUGGGAUAAAGAUGGACUUUUUAAGAAAUGGUUAACCAGGAGUUCCAGUUGUGGCUCAGUGGGUUAAGAAUCCCACUCAUAUCUGUGAGGAUAUAGGUUCAGUCCCUCGCCUCACUCAGUAGGUUAACGAUCCGGCAUUGUCACAAGCUGCAGAGUAGAUCGCAGAUGCAGUUUGGAUCUGGCACUGCUCUUGCUGUGGUGUAGGCCAGCAUCUAUAGUUCCGAUUUGAUCCCUAGCUUGGGAACUUUCAUAUGCCAUGGGUGCAGCCCUAAAAUAUACAUAUAAAAGAAAAAAAAAUAAAAGGUUAACUAUUUAGAAAAAGAUAAAAUUAAAUUUAUACCUCACGUCAUAUACAAAAGUAAACUGCAAAUGUGCCAGAGAUUUCAAUGUAAAGCAUGAAACUGUAUGAAUACAAAGGAAAAUAUGGGUGAAUUCUUAUAUGCCCUGGGUGUAAGAAAAGGAUUUCUAAAAUCCAGGUACAACAAAAGGAAAGAUUGGUAUAUUUGACUUUGUAAAAUUUUAAAGCAAGACUUUUGCAUGGUAAAAAAACAUUAACAGUAAAGCUAAAAGACAUGUAGAAAACUGGGAGAAAAUACUUGCGUUAUUUAUCACAGAUUAAGUAUUCAUAUCCCUCAUAUAAAGACAAAAUAGAGAUUCAGUAGAAAAUAGAUAAAAGAUAUGGACAGAUGGUUCUCACAAAAAGCUAUAAAAAUUUCCCGUAAACAUACAAGAUAUUCACUGUUACUUAUAAUAAGAGAAAUCCAAGUUAAAACUUGCCCUGAGAUGCCCAUUUUCACCUGUGAGGUUGGCAGAAAUUUAAAAGUACAAUCAAAUGCUGUUAGCUGUAAGGAAAGAGUAUUUUCAUGUUUUGCCGAUGGUAAUGCAAACUGCUAUUUUGAUGGCUGUACCGCAGGUUGGCACAGAGAAGAUCAAGAAAUAGCUUCCUUCCAUAGCCAGAGGGCAAGGGAAGGCAAGAGUCCAUUAUCUGAGGCACUUUAGGACCAUUUCACUAGAUCCCCUCUUUCCCACAAAUCCCUGAGGUUAGAAGGAGGUGGGAAUUCUUAUUGCUCCUUCCUUUUUGGGCCUACCUUACUCAAAACUCUGUGAACUCUCCCACCAGAACUAUCUUUUGAGAUGCUAAUGGUGUAUUAAAGAAUACAAAUAAUCCUUUCACUUGACAGUAGUGGGAGUACAAUAUGGGAAGCCAUGUUUUUGAUUGUAGGAAAGUUGUUCCUUUGGUACCAAGUCAUGAUCUCUCUCGAGGUUAAUUGAUUCAUCUGGCAUGUUAGAGCAAAGGUCAGGUAAAUUGGAAAGGCCAGAAUUACGUCAAUAGUAAAUAAAAUAAUACCCAUUAACUGUUAUUACAUAAAUCAUGUAUUACAUAAACAUGCAGUUAAAUAUUUAGGUUGAUAAUACAAGGAAAGUUAACUAAUCUGGACUUAGCGAUGCCCUUGACUGCAUGUCAUCGUAUUCAGCAUUAUUUUGUUUGUGCUAGCUGUUAAAACUUAAAUAGAAGGUGAUGUGACAAUUCAUGAUAACAAAGUCAUAUUAAAAAGUGAGUUAUCCUCUAGGUGAGGAUAUAAAAUGGUAUGAGCUGCUUUGGAAAUCUCUGUGUCUGUUCCUCAAAAUGUUAAUCCUAGAGUUACCAUAUGAGCCAGUUGUUCUGCUUCUAAGUAUAUACCCAAGAGAAAUGAAAAUAAGUCCAUUUAGAAACUUGUGUUUAUAGUUCAUAAUAGCUAAGAAGUAAGAGACAAGCCAAAUGUCUGUUGACUGAUGAAUAUAUAAUGUUUUGUAUACCCAUAUGAUAGAGAAUUAAUCCACCAUAAAAAUGAAGUAAUAUAUUGAUACAUGCUACAACAUGGAUGAACCUAAAAAAUAUGGUAAGGGAAAGAAGCCAGUUAAAAAAGAUCACAUACUGUAUGAUUCUGUUAACAUGAAAUGUCUUGAAUAGGAAAUCUAUAAAGAUAGAAAGUAGAUUGGUAGUUACCUAGGCCGUGGAAGUUGCAAGAGUUAGUUUGAGGGAGAAAGAGGAGUGACUGCUAAUGGAUAUGGGUUUCUUGGGGGUGUUUUGUGACAAAAGUGUUCUAAAAUUGAUAGUGUUGAUGAUUGCAAAACUAUGAAUAUACUAGUAACUAUUGAAUUGUACACUUUAUUUGAACUUUGAAGUAUGUGAAUUAUAUCUCAGUGAAGUUAUUAUUUAUGAAUUACCUACAUUUAGUGACUAAUAAGUUUUUUCCGCCAUCACUAAAAUGCCUUGACCCAUUCUUAAACAUCGCUGGUGAGAAUGCAGAUUAGCCCAAAUUUUUUGAAAAGGACUUUGGCAACUUUUUUAACAAAACUGUGUAUGCAUUUGCUUUUUGACCCAGCACUUCCACUUCUGGAAAUUUACCCUAAAGACUUGCUACCAGAGUACAAAUGGACAGAAUUAUUCAUUGCAGCAUUUAAGUGUAAUUGUAAAACAGUGGAUACAACCUAAAUGUCAAUACAGAGGAGAAUGAUUAAAUAAAAACUAUAGUAUAUCCGUAUAGUGCAUGUACCUAAAAGGAUGAGGAAACCUGUGAAUUGAUAAGGAAUGAUUUCUAGGAUUAAUAUGGUUACCUCAAGCAAACUACAGAUGAGCAUAUCUGUACUACACUACCUUAUGUGAGAAAGAAGGUGACAUAAGAAAUUAUAUAUCUAGGAGUUCCCAUUGUAAGUGGGUGAAAACAAAUCUGAAUAGUUUCCAUGAGGAUGCAGGUUCGAUCCCUGGUCUCACUCAGUGGGUCAGGGAUCCCACGUUGCCGUGGCUGUAGUGUAGGCCGGCAGCUGUAGCUCUGACUUGACCCCUAGCCUGGGAACUUCCAUAUGCUGUGGAUGCAGCCC